rnacentral:rRNA from 1 species
CCAUUAGAUGUUCUGGGCCGCACGCGCGCUACAAUGAUGAAUUCAACGAGUUUAUAACCUUGGUUGAAAAGCCUGGGUAAUCUUUUGAACUUUCGUCGUGAUGGGGCUAGACCCUUGCAAUUAUUGGUCUCCAACGAGGAAUUCCUAGUAAACGCAAGUCAUCAGCUUGCAUUGAUUACGUCCCUGCCCUUUGUACACACCGCCCGUCGCACCUACCGAUUGAAUGGUCCGGUGAAAUCUUCGGAUUGAGACUUUGAUUUGUUUACUCAAAACGCUGUUUCAAGAAGUUGAUUAAACCUUACCAUUUAGAGGAAGGUGAAGUCGUAACA